AUAUAUGUAUGUAAAUACAAAAAAUAUCUAUAGAAAAAGGAAUUUUGGAGAAAAAUCUCGUUAUUAAUAUGUCAAAAUUUUAGAAUGGUUCAUUACACACACUUACAGUAUACGUUGCUGAAAUUUGGUAUCAAAAACUGAGGUGGGGUGCCUAGGAGGGCCGCCCACCCCCAAAACCUGCCAAACGGAUUUAUAGACCUGAAAAUUGGACAUCUUUAAAUUAAUUCAAAAACUGGAAAGAAGUUUCUUUAAAAGCAAAUAAAUUUCAAUCUAUAUACAGUGGCUUUUGUUUGAACAUUCCAAAACAAUGGGUUGCGUCCGUCAGGGCGCCCCGGUAGCCGGUGGAUUCGAUUCCCCCCAGAAGCCUUGGUUUGUCGAUACUGUGGUAUCACAAUGGACUUCAAAUUGUAUAUAUGUAUAUUUUAUUGUACGAAUUAAAUUGUUAUUUAAUAGCAAAAAUGGUGCUUUGAUUAAAAUUAUAUAUAUUCAAACAUAUUUAAUGCGAAAAAAGUGAAAUUGAGUCUAAUAUAUGUCUCGCUUCUAUCAUAUACAGAAAAAAAUAUAUCAAGAGAAAU